UACGUAGGGUGCGAGCGUUGUCCGGAUUUAUUGGGCGUAAAGAGCGUGUAGGCGGUUUGGUAGGUCCGCUGUGAAAACUCGAGGCUCAACCUCGAGACGUCGGCGGAAACCAUCUGGCUAGAGUCCGGAAGAGGAGAGUGGAAUUCCACGUGUAGCGGUGAAAUGCGUAGAGAUGUGGAGGAACACCAGUGGCGAAGGCGGCUUUCUGGUCUGUAACUGACGCUGAGGCGCGAAAGCGUGGGGAGCAAACAGG
rnacentral:rRNA from 1 species